rnacentral:rRNA from 1 species
AUUGAACGCUGGCGGCACGCUUAACACAUGCAAGUCGAACGGCAGCAGCGAUGGUUUCGGCCAUCGGCUGGCGAGUGGCGGACGGGUGAGUAAUGCGUAGGAAUUUGCCUUAGUGAGGGGGAUAACUCGGGGAAACUCGGGCUAAUACCGCAUACGUUCUGAGGAAGAAAGGUGGGUACUUCGGUAUCUGUCGCACUAAGAGAAGCCUACGUUGGAUUAGCUUGUUGGUAGGGUAAAGGCCUACCAAGGCGACGAUCCAUAGCUGGCCUGAGAGGGUGAACAGCCACACUGGGACUGAGACACGGCCCAGACUCCUACGGGAGGCAGCAGUGGGGAAUAUUGGACAAUGGGGGAAACCCUGAUCCAGCGAUGCCGCGUGUGUGAAGAAGGCCUGCGGGUUGUAAAGCACUUUUGCUGGGA